rnacentral:rRNA from 1 species
AUUGAACGCUGGCGGCAGGCCUAACACAUGCAAGUCGAGCGGAUGAAGGGAGCUUGCUCCUGGAUUCAGCGGCGGACGGGUGAGUAAUGCCUAGGAAUCUGCCUGGUAGUGGGGGAUAACGUCCGGAAACGGGCGCUAAUACCGCAUACGUCCUGAGGGAGAAAGUGGGGGAUCUUCGGACCUCACGCUAUCAGAUGAGCCUAGGUCGGAUUAGCUAGUUGGUGGGGUAAAGGCCUACCAAGGCGACGAUCCGUAACUGGUCUGAGAGGAUGAUCAGUCACACGGGAACUGAGACACGGUCCAGACACCUACGGGAGGCAGCAGUGGGGAAUAUUGGGCAAUGGACGAAAGCCUGAUCCAGCCACGCCGCGUGUGUGAAGAAGGUCUUCGGAUUGUAAAGCACUGUAAGUUGGGGGGAAGGGCAGUAAGUUAAUACCUUGCUAUUUUGACGUUACCAGCAGAAUAAGCACCGGCUAACUUCGUG